GAUUCAAAAACCAACUGCUAUUCCAGUGGUGGUUGAACCAACUUGCAAGUAGCCUACCAAUAAGCACGCUAUUUUUCAGCAUAUUAAGUGUGGAAUCAAUUGAGGGGAUUAUGUUUCAUCAAGCCAUUAGAAGACUGCUGUUGCUGACUGAGAGGAGAUAUUCUGGCAGUAACCCAGAACUAUCAGAGGCAGAGGAUCUCUCUUUCGGCUGCUGCUGACAACUGCGUUCAGGCAACUGUACUGGCGGUAGGCUGCCCAGCGGCUAAGGAGUUGGACCUCUGGCCAUAAGGUGGCUGGUUCAAAUCCCGGGACGAAAAAAUGGGUGGAAUUGAUCUGACAACAAUUGGACCCUUGACCAAGUCCCUUAACCCCACAACAUGCUCUCCAUCCAGGGGCACUGCACUGCAGCUUGAACCUGUGAUUGUCUCAACUGUAUGUGUGAGGUCUGCUGUUUGGGGGGGUUGAGAACGGAGCAGAAGCCACAUUUUUGUUGUUCGCUGUAACUAAUGGAAUAGUUAUAUUGUAAAGAAUUCAGUGUUGAUGUGGGGCAUCAUUCAAAUAAAGAGAUGCCUCCCUGGGCCAG